rnacentral:lncRNA from 1 species
AAGGAGGAACAGAAAGCGCCAGAGUUGAGCUCAGAGUACAAGUGAAGGAAGUGCUUGGUUAGGUGCUGCUUGGAGCUCUGUGUGGAAACUGAGUUCAGCACCGGGCUUAGCAUCUGAGCUCAGUGAAGCCUUUGCAGAGAACCUAGGCUUUGGGAGCUAGGUUCAGAAUACCAAGAAAAGGAGCCUGCUUAGCCUGGGCUGUGGUGUGAAGGGCAGAGCCCCCUUCUGCCAUAUCUCAGGCCUAUGGAGGGUUACUCAAGAGAACAUGGUGUGAUACCAGGGUAAGAAGGUCUUUUGCUAGUAUUUCAAGUCGUCUUCUGACUCUCAAAAAAGAGGGAAAAAACUGAGGUAAAAGUGGCUUUUUCAGCAAUAUCAUAGGAAAGAACAAAACUGUGAGAAAAUGUAAACGGAGUCCUUCCUGGGACAGCUUUGCUUAAUCAGCCAGCCCUGGUCUCUCUUUACCUCUUUUAAAGGAGGCUAACAAUGGGCAGGUAAGCCCAGAGAGCAUGAGCAAUCGUCCCUUUUAAGUUCUUGUGUCAUUUAUUAAAAAUUAACUCGGAGGUCUUUUUAUGUACAUGAAUGUUUUGCCUGUGUGUGCCUAUAUGUACUUCAUGUGUACAUGGUGCCUGUGGAGGUCAGAAGAGGUUGUUGAAUGCCCUAGAAUUGGAGUUACACAUGCUUGUAGGCCACUGUGUGGGUCCUAAGUACCAAACCCUGGUCUUAACUGCUGAGCCAUCCCCAACACAGAAAAGUGAAAUUUCUAAUGACAGCGCUUAUAGAACUUUUACUACAGCAGUGUCACAGAGUGGGUGUGUCAUAACAUGUAGAACACAGAUUAGCUGCAUUCAGACAUCCAUUGUGGAUUUAGGGAAUGCCAUCCUAAUAUUAGGGAAAGUACUGACUUGUUAAUGCUGACUUUGGUAGAGCAAGAAGUCUUCAGCUGCCCCUCAGGAUAAGCUGUCUCUCCUGGCCUUUCUCCCUCUUCUGUGAAGCUAGGACACUGACCACUCUGGGAGAGUUGAGGAAGCUUUGGGCUAUUAUUUCUACUAUGAAUGCAGUUCAUGGGGGGAAAAAUAGUGGAAUUGUUAAUGUGUUUAACUCCUUAAGUUUUUUCAGCACCAAGAGGCAUGAUCUUAAGUAUUUGCGAUUGUUUUAGUUUUCUUUAGUGAGGAAAGGAAACACUGAAAUAAUGAGAACUUUUUUUUUUUUUAAGCUAGGGUGUCAUGUGGCCCUGGAAUCCCCAUGUAAUGCUUCAUAUAUGGUGGGCAGACACUGCUGUCUACGUGACAUUCCCAACCAUGGUGUCGUAUCUGUUUACAUAAAAUUUAAAGUACUUGGGAUUUGUGCUGGUGUGCAGAAUAAGAGCAUGUGACUUGAAGGAAACAGAGCUCUCCAGGUCUUAACUGCACUUAGACCAGAAGGAGAGCAUUGUACGUGACAAACAAGCAGGAAGAGGGACAAGGGACAGGAGCUCCAGUCCCGCUCAGGAAGAGUCAUAGCUGUUCUCCAUGGAGCACACCAUUUCACAAUCAGAGUGCUGUUGGAUACCCUCCAAGCCCAGUAGACAGAGUGAAAGGGGAAUGGUGCCCCACAGUUAAGCUGAUCGAGGUUGGGGAAGAGAGGUGGGCUAUAUCACAUAACCACACUGACUUUCAAAUGACCCUAGCUUUCUGGAAGGGUGUGAGCCACAGACAGCACCAGUCAGUGGCUUCAUUUUCCCUGUAGAUCUGGGAGUUUGAAGAUCUAAGAUGUACAUGUAUAAUCAGACUAAAAGAAUGCUGUUUUAAGCAACUUUGACCUUAAGCAGAUAUUCCCAAAACAUUUCACACAGGAAAAGUACUGAUGUUCCUGAUGUUAGGCACAUGAAGGAACACAGAGUGUGAGCAGUUUAUUGCAUGUUUCUGGUUUCCACUCCAUGUGUUGGGGGCGCCCCUUGCCCUGCACACACCUCCGCUCUCUCGGCUCUGAGCUGACUGCUGAGGAGCUGCGUGCAAACACUUGAGCAGCUGCGUGAGUGCAGAGAAGGUUCCUGGUCCCCACACUGUCCCCAAGUCCGCAGAGAGCAGCACUGCUGGGCUUAAGAGGUUACACAUCUUUAAAGUUGAGUUUUACUAUAAUUUUUCAAGUUUUAAAAAAGUGGGGAAAAAAAUGUAGAUGUUAUAGACCUAGAAAUGCCAUGGCCAACUAACAUAUACUUAGUUAUAAAGAAGUUAUUAGUUAUUCAUCUCAG